rnacentral:rRNA from 1 species
ACGGGAGGCAGCAGUGGGGAAUAUUGGGCAAUGGGCGCAAGCCUGACCCAGCAAUGCCGCGUGAAGGAAGAAUGCUUUCGGGUUGUAAACUUCUUUUAAGUGGGACGCUAAUGACGGUACCACUUGAAUAAGCUCCUGCUAACUACGUGCCAGCAGCCGCGGUAAUACGUAGGGAGCAAGCGUUAUCCGGAUUUACUGGGUGUAAAGGCGUGUAGGCGGGACAGCAAGUCAGAUGUGAAAGCACGAGGCUCAACUUCGUGUCUGCAUUUGAAACUGCUGUUCUUGAGUGCUGGAGAGGCUAACGGAACUCCUAGUGUAGCGGUGAAAUGCGUAGAUAUUAGGAAGAACACCAGUGGCGAAGGCGGUUAGCUGGACAGUAACUGACGCUGAGGCGCGAAAGCGUGGGUAGCAAACAGGAUUAGAUACCCUGGUA